UGUUCGAGAAGGUCGGCCUUGACGAGC
rnacentral:piRNA from 1 species